CCUACUGACUUCAACUAAACUGUAUUCCGACUGGAGGGAAAUCAAAACUACUGCAAUCAUAAUUUCUUGAAGGCUUCACUUUGUGCCAGAUCCUGUGCCGACUGCUUUGCACCAACUGUCUCAUUUAAUCCUCACAUCCAAAAGGCAGGUUACCGUUAUUCUCCCCAUUGUCAAGGUGAGGAGGCGGAAGCAGAAAGAUGGCAAUCUGCCUGGAAUUCACAGAAGGAUUCUCUAGGUAAUGACAUGACUUUUGGACAAGAUUUCAAGGUUUAACGCAUUACAGUGCAGAUGCAGAUCCCAGUAUCACAGAACGUGAAAAACACUGAGUCCUGCCAAAUGUCUUAAAACACUAAUUAUGGAUCCUCACAAUCUCUUGGCCUGUUUUCUCAGAUGAGGGAAAACCCAGCGUGAAAAACCGUUGAUGAGAUGUCUGCAGAGGAGGACUACGUCUGGUCUUUAAAGCCGGGACCUAUCCCAGUAGAUUCUGAGUCAGUGGGUCCAGAGUAGGCCUUGAGCGUCUCUGUUCUUUUCCAAAGCCCCACAGGUUUAGGAACUCCGUGGUGUUUGCACAGUCUCGAGAUUGCCUGACCAUGACACACUCCUCAGAACUCAUCCCCACUGUUAAGCAAAGCAUGACUAUACCGCCUUGGAUUCUCCACGGUCCCAGACCUGAACUGUUUAGAUGACUGCACACGCAGAGGGCACCGUGUCUGAGGCAGAGAGCAGCUGGAAUCACAAAAGCUCUCGACAGAGAGUCAAGGAAAGGCGUGCUCUGCUUACACGACUCUCUACUUUUCUCUGGGUCUGAACCAUUUCCUAGCUAAUCUGCUUUUUUUAACCGAGCAGCUUUGCCAAAAAAAAAAAAAAAAAGAAAAAACACAAAGUUACCAACAAACACUAAACAAACCAAUAUAAACAAUACAUAUUAAAUAAGCCUAACCCUACUAUGCUACUGAAAAGGCUUUUAUUUCCCUGGGAUAAUUUGGACAGCAUUAGAUUGUUUUACCAAGAGCAGCCAAGUCGAGGCAGAUUAUUUCUAAUUCCACAGUGCUGCAGAUGCGGUCAGUAGCAACUGCAAGCCGGAAAGGAAACAAAACAAAACAAAGUUGGGUGUAAUCCAUUCAAGUUCACACGUUUCACCAGGGACAGCCUCCAAGCCUUGAAUAGUCAGGUAUGCAUUUAGCCAUUCUUUAAUCAACCACUACUAACGCCUGCUAAAGGCCAGACACUGCUCUAAGUACUUUACGGAUAUGAAAUAUCCUCUCACCUUUACACUCACCUAUGGAGUGUGUAUGAUAAUCAUCCCCGUUUUACAGAUCAGGAAACUGACACACAGAAUGGUACAGUAACUUGCCCGAGUUCACACAGCCCG
rnacentral:lncRNA from 1 species